UACGAAGGGGGCUAGCGUUGCUCGGAAUCACUGGGCGUAAAGCGCACGUAGGCGGAUUGUUAAGUCAGGGGUGAAAUCCUGGAGCUCAACUCCAGAACUGCCUUUGAUACUGGCAAUCUCGAGUCCGGGAGAGGUGAGUGGAACUGCGAGUGUAGAGGUGAAAUUCGUAGAUAUUCGCAAGAACACCGGUGGCGAAGGCGGCAUCCUGGACCGACACUGACGCUGAGGAGCGAAAGCCAGGGGAGCAAACGGG
rnacentral:rRNA from 1 species